rnacentral:rRNA from 1 species
UACAGAGGGGGCAAGCGUUAUUCGGAAUUAUUGGGCGUAAAGGGCGCGUAGGUGGCCUUGCAAGUGGCGGGUGAAAUCCCUCGGCUUAACCGAGGAACUGCCUGCCAGACUGCUUGGCUUGAGACCGGGAGAGGUGAGUGGAAUUCCCAGUGUAGCGGUGAAAUGCGUAGAUAUUGGGAGGAACACCAGUGGCGAAGGCGGCUCACUGGACCGGAACUGACGCUGAGGCGCGAAAGCGUGGGGAGCAAACAGG